AUACUUACCUGGCAGGUGAGACACCUUGAUCACAAAGAAGGUUUUCCCAGGGUGAGGCUCAUCCAUUGCACUCCAGGUGCACUGACCCCUGUGAUGUCCUCAAAUACAGGAAACUCAACUGCAUAAUUUGUGGUAGUGGGGGACUGCAUUCAUGCUUUCA